GGUGUGGCCUUGUUGGAAGAAGUGUGCCACUGGGGAUGGGCUUUGAGUUUCAGAAGCCCAAGCCAGGCCUGGUGGCUCUGCUCUUCCUGCUGCCUGCAGCUCCU
ensembl:miRNA predicted gene, 26483